CAUAAGCAAGAAAAUAUCACAUCAUACUUCACAAUGUAUACAACUAUUAUUUCUCAACUAAAAAUAAGUAGAGAAGCAGAGAAAUGGCACUUUGAAAAUAACUUGACUUGCCAUUCAUAGAUUUGAAGAUAAGAGAGUCAGGGAAUACAGACAUUCCCUAGAAGCUAAAAAAGUCAAGAAAAUAUGUUUUUCCUUGGAAACCCCAGAAAGAAAUGCAGUUCUUCUAACACCUUGAUUUUAGCCCAGUGAGAGUUGCAUGUCUAAAUUCUGAUUUAUAGAUCUGUAAGAUAAUACUUGCGAUUGCUUUAAGCUAUCUAAUUUGUGGUAAUUUGUAACAGCAGUCAUAGGAAACUAAUACAUCAGUCAAUACCUACGAGUGGGAUUGCUGGGUCAUGUGAUAAGUGUGUGUUUAAUUUUAUAAGAAAAACUGCCAAACUGUUAAAAAUGAAAUAAGUAAUUCCUUUGUUAUACAGGUGAAGAAACAGACUAAGAGAGAAAAGGUAUAUGGUCAGGUUGGUAGUCAACGAAUAGUAAUGAAUUGUUUUUAAAACACGGAAGAAGAGGAAGAGGAGGAGAAGGCUGAUGAAGAGGAGCAGAAGCUAGAAGAGGUGGAGGGAAGACAAAGGGGGAGGGGAAAGGCCCUUAUAUGGGCCACAAAGCCUACAACAUUUAUUAUCUAACCCUUUACAGAAAAAGUUUGCUGACUGUACAGUAUUCCCUGAGUUCUCGAGUAUUUAUAAAGUUGUUACAGUCUUGUUACUGAAGGCUAGUGGUGGUAUAGUAUGGUAAAUGGUGAUAAGUGAUAAGAAAAAUGAAAGCAAACCAGGAAAGGAGAGUAUAAGAAGGGAGAGUACAGAUUUUAGAUGGUUAGGAAACCCUUACUGAAAAUGUAAAUUUUAAACUAAGAUAUGCAUAAAGUGAGAAAAUGGCCAUUUGGAAAUCUAAAAGGAGAGCAUGUCAAGUCACUGGCACACAGGAGUAGAAGCUUUGAGGCGGGAGCAUGGAUGUUACUGUCAAAGACUAGUAGACACCAGUAUUGCUGGAGCAAAGAGAGCCAGAGGUGAGUAGAAAAGGAAAAUGUGAGAAAAGUCAUGGGGAACCAGAUCAAGUAGGAACAAAUUCCUGUGAAUAAUUUUUAUUUUGCUUCAAGUGAGACAGAAACCCAUUAAGAAGAAGAGGGAAAUAAUCUGAGUUCUGGGUUUAGUAGGAUCACUCGACUAUGCUACUACGCUGAUAUUAAACUAUAGGAGACAGGGCAAAAGCAAAGGGAUAGACCAGAAAGCUAAGGCAAUUAUUCAUUUGAGAAAUAUAGUACCUUAAAUCUGAGUGGUGGCUACGAGAAUGAUGUAAAGUAGUCACAUUCUGGGUAUAAACAACCAAAUUUGCUGAAUAACUAUAGUAAGAAUGAGAAAAGAAUAAAGUCAAAGACAACACCAAAAUUAAAUACUUGUGCAUUUGGAUGACUGGAGUUUUCAAUAACUUAAAAGGAAAAUAACAUAGAAUAAGAUUCAGGGGAGGAGUAUAAGGAGUUCAAGUUGGAGCUUGUUCAAUUGAGUACCUACAAUAUACCCAUAUUCAUAUGUACAUGUUUUCAUACAUGUUUAUAUACACAUGACUAUAUGGGUCUGGAGUUUGGGGCAGAAUUUCUGGUUGAAAAAUAUUAAUUAAAGAGGUAUCUGUACAUUGACAACAUUUAAAUCCAUGAAACUGGAUGAGUUAACCUAGGCUGAGUGUCCAGAGAAGAGAAAAAAGUUUAAUGUCAGAACUCUGAAACACUGUACCAUUUCAAGGUCAGAAAACUGAGGAAGUUGUAGCUAAAGAAGCUGCAAAAAAGCAACCAGAAAUAUUGGAGUAAAACCAGGAGAGAAAAAUUAGAAGGAAAAUUAACAAUCUAAAAUCUCUGUAGGAAAUUCUUGGUCAGGGUACUAGAUUUGUUUUUCAAAUGGCUGUUUUUUCAUAGAUAGAAAGGAAAGGCAGAUGGAAUAAGAAAAAUUAAUGUGUUUCUUUGGUAACAAUUUUAUUAAAUUCCACCAUAACUGCAUAUACUAUUAAUCUAAAAUCUUUACUGCUUCAGGAUUAUGGAGUUUACAUUUCUAUUCUGGAGAAUUUAUUUUAUAUUGGUAAUUUCCCUGCUUUCUCUUAGAUUCAUACUUAGCUUCCUUCAAUCCGUAUGGGUGGGACUGGGAGUCUACAAACAUUUCUCCGAUCCUUUUCUUGUGGUCUUGAUAUUAACUUCUGCCUCCCAGAGGUACUGGUCAAAAGUCAGAAGUCUGGGCAGUACAGAGAUGUUGUCAGCUCCUGUUUUUUUCUGAUAUGGCAGCUGGAGUCACUCCAGACUCCAGUAAUCCAGCCAGAAUCGUUUCUUUUUUCAGUGGUUUUACUAACAGAAAGGGAGACUCCUUCCAGAAGUUCCCAAAUCAAUUUUAAGAGCAGGAUGCUAAGUACAGGCUCAUGAGCUUCAUCCCACGGAUAUUAGAACUUCUGAUCUUUGAAUAUUUACCCUAUCUUAGUUUUUGCUCUGUGCUUCCAACAAAUGUGUAACCUAUGUAUUAUAUUUCCUCAGGUACUGUAUUCCCUCUGAAACUCAGGUCUUGGAUAUAUUCUUGAAUCUUAAGACAUAUAACUUUAUCCUGUAUUGUUAUUUUCUAUUAGUUUAUUUUUCUUUCAUUAUUGUAUCCAAUAUGGCAGAAAAUACACUUGCUAUAUUCAUAUAUGUACUAUUAGCCCUUAGCACAGAGUUUGGCAUAUAUUAAGUAAAUAAGCAGUGAAAGGUAAAUAAAGUAAUUAAAUGAUGCAAUAUACAAAUACUUGUUUUUUAAAAAUGAUGUAUAUUGGAUGGUAUUUUCACAAACACACAAGCACAUGUGCACACUAAUUUAUUUUUGAGUAGGCUAUAGACUUUUCCUUAUAUUGACCCAAUAGAAAGGUGAGGUGUGUGUCCCACUUUCUUGAAUCUGGGCAAGCCUGUGACUACAUCAACCGAUAGAAUAGAAUGGAAUAGAAAUAGCAGUGCAUAAUUUUGAAUUUAGGUCAUAAAAAAAAAGUCUUACAAGUUUCUCCUUGCUUCCUAGAAUACUUGAGAGGUCUGAACCAUUAUGUAAGAAAUCUGUCUAAUCAGAGGCUGCCAUACUGUUAGGAAGACUAAGUCACAUGGUUAGCUGUUAUGUAGACACACUCCCUUGGACAGCCUUGGCUGAAUCCAGUUUUUGAGUCAUUUCAGCUCACAUAUCAGACAUGUGACAAAAGAAUAUUCUAGAUGUUUGGGAAUUGUUUGACUGUUAGUCAUUUAAUUAGGUCCUCAAUUAGAACCUUAUCAAUUAGGUCCUCAAAUACUGUCAGGUAGAAAUAAGUUAACCCUCUGUUUAUUUCUGAACUUCUGAUUUAUAGAAUAUAGAAGCAUUGUAAAUCUUUUUGUUUGCUUUUUAAUGCCACUAUUUUUUUAUAGUGUUUGUUACAUAGCAAUGCAUAACUGCAUAACUGGAACAAAAGUUUUAUCAUUUUUGAAACAAUGAAUCACUUUUAAAUGGCCAAAACCAGACAAG
rnacentral:lncRNA from 1 species